rnacentral:rRNA from 1 species
GGGUUGUGAGGUUAAGCGACUAAGCGUACACGGUGGAUGCCCUGGCAGUCAGAGGCGAUGAAGGGCGUGCUAAUCUGCGAUAAGCGCCGGUAAGGUGAUAUGAACCGUUAUAACCGGCGAUACCCGAAUGGGGAAACCCAGUGUGAUUCGUCACACUAUCAUUAACUGAAUCCAUAGGUUAAUGAGGCGAACCGGGGGAACUGAAACAUCUAAGUACCCCGAGGAAAAGAAAUCAACCGAGAUUCCCCCAGUAGCGGCGAGCGAACGGGGAGGAGCCCAGAGCCUGAAUCAGCAUGUGUGUUAGUGGAAGCGUCUGGAAAGGUGCGCGAUACAGGGUGACAGCCCCGUACACAAAAGCGCAUGUGCUGUGAGCUCGAUGAGUAGGGCGGGACACGUGGUAUCCUGUCUGAAUAUGGGGGACCAUCCUCCAAGGCUAAAUACUCCUGACUGACCGAUAGUGAACCAGUACCGUGAGGGAAAGGCGAAAAGAACCCCGGCGAGGGGAGUGAAAAAGAACCUGAAACCGUGUACGUACAAGCAGUGGGAGCACCCUUCGGGGUGUGACUGCGUACCUUUUGUAUAAUGGGUCAGCGACUUAUAUUCUGUAGCAAGGUUAACCGUAUAGGGGAGCCGGAGGGAAACCGAGUCUUAACCGGGCGUUAAGUUGCAGGGUAUAGACCCGAAACCCGGUGAUCUAGCCAUGGGCAGGUUGAAGGUUGGGUAACACUAACUGGAGGACCGAACCGACUAAUGUUGAAAAAUUAGCGGAUGACCUGUGGCUGGGGGUGAAAGGCCAAUCAAACCGGGAGAUAGCUGGUUCUCCCCGAAAGCUAUUUAGGUAGCGCCUCGUGAAUUCAUCUCCGGGGGUAGAGCACUGUUUCGGCUAGGGGGCCAUCCCGGCUUACCAACCCGAUGCAAACUGCGAAUACCGGAGAAUGUUAUCACGGGAGACACACGGCGGGUGCUAACGUCCGUCGUGAAGAGGGAAACAACCCAGACCGCCAGCUAAGGUCCCAAAGUCAUGGUUAAGUGGGAAACGAUGUGGGAAGGCCCAGACAGCCAGGAUGUUGGCUUAGAAGCAGCCAUCAUUUAAAGAAAGCGUAAUAGCUCACUGGUCGAGUCGGCCUGCGCGGAAGAUGUAACGGGGCUAAACCAUGCACCGAAGCUGCGGCAGCGAACGUAUCACCCAAGACAACUUUACGGAGUUGACGAUUGACGGAGCGAAGCGACGUCAAAGCGUUCAUUAAAGUCGAGUUGGCUUAGGGAUACGUUCGUUGGGUAGGGGAGCGUUCUGUAAGCCUGUGAAGGUGUGUCGUGAGGCAUGCUGGAGGUAUCAGAAGUGCGAAUGCUGACAUAAGUAACGAUAAAGCGGGUGAAAAGCCCGCUCGCCGGAAGACCAAGGGUUCCUGUCCAACGUUAAUCGGGGCAGGGUGAGUCGACCCCUAAGGCGAGGCCGAAAGGCGUAGUCGAUGGGAAACGGGUUAAUAUUCCCGUACUUGGUGUUACUGCGAAGGGGGGACGGAGAAGGCUAUGUUGGCCGGGCGACGGUUGUCCCGGUUUAAGCGUGUAGGUGUGUGUUCCAGGUAAAUCCGGUUCACUUUAACACUGAGGCGUGACGACGAGGCACUACGGUGCUGAAGCAACAAAUGCCCUGCUUCCAGGAAAAGCCUCUAAGCAUCAGGUAACACGAAAUCGUACCCCAAACCGACACAGGUGGUCAGGUAGAGAAUACCAAGGCGCUUGAGAGAACUCGGGUGAAGGAACUAGGCAAAAUGGUGCCGUAACUUCGGGAGAAGGCACGCUGACACGUAGGUGAAGUGAUUUACUCAUGGAGCUGAAGUCAGUCGAAGAUACCAGCUGGCUGCAACUGUUUAUUAAAAACACAGCACUGUGCAAACACGAAAGUGGACGUAUACGGUGUGACGCCUGCCCGGUGCCGGAAGGUUAAUUGAUGGGGUCAGCGCAAGCGAAGCUCCUGAUCGAAGCCCCGGUAAACGGCGGCCGUAACUAUAACGGUCCUAAGGUAGCGAAAUUCCUUGUCGGGUAAGUUCCGACCUGCACGAAUGGCGUAAUGAUGGCCAGGCUGUCUCCACCCGAGACUCAGUGAAAUUGAACUCGCUGUGAAGAUGCAGUGUACCCGCGGCAAGACGGAAAGACCCCGUGAACCUUUACUAUAGCUUGACACUGAACAUUGAGCCUUGAUGUGUAGGAUAGGUGGGAGGCUUUGAAGUGUGGACGCCAGUCUGCAUGGAGCCGACCUUGAAAUACCACCCUUUAAUGUUUGAUGUUCUAACGUGGACCCGUAAUCCGGGUUGCGGACAGUGUCUGGUGGGUAGUUUGACUGGGGCGGUCUCCUCCUAAAGAGUAACGGAGGAGCACGAAGGUUGGCUAAUCCUGGUCGGACAUCAGGAGGUUAGUGCAAUGGCAUAAGCCAGCUUGACUGCGAGCGUGACGGCGCGAGCAGGUGCGAAAGCAGGUCAUAGUGAUCCGGUGGUUCUGAAUGGAAGGGCCAUCGCUCAACGGAUAAAAGGUACUCCGGGGAUAACAGGCUGAUACCGCCCAAGAGUUCAUAUCGACGGCGGUGUUUGGCACCUCGAUGUCGGCUCAUCACAUCCUGGGGCUGAAGUAGGUCCCAAGGGUAUGGCUGUUCGCCAUUUAAAGUGGUACGCGAGCUGGGUUUAGAACGUCGUGAGACAGUUCGGUCCCUAUCUGCCGUGGGCGCUGGAGAACUGAGGGGGGCUGCUCCUAGUACGAGAGGACCGGAGUGGACGCAUCACUGGUGUUCGGGUUGUCAUGCCAAUGGCACUGCCCGGUAGCUAAAUGCGGAAGAGAUAAGUGCUGAAAGCAUCUAAGCACGAAACUUGCCCCGAGAUGAGUUCUCCCUGAGACUUAGAGUCUCCUGAAGGAACGUUGAAGACGACGACGUUGAUAGGCCGGGUGUGUAAGCGCAGCGAUGCGUUGAGCUAACCGGUACUAAUGAACCGUGAGGCUUAACCUUACAACGCCGAAG